GGCCCCAUUUGCUAGAUUUUCCAAAAUCCAAAGCAGAUCCACAAAUCCAUCACUGGAUGGUAUAAUAUCUUGACUAUCCACCUAAGCAAGCAUCUGCUUCCAUUAACAAGCGUUUUAUUAAUUAAGAAAGAGAUUGAAGAACAGUUGGCAGACAAAGAGAAAGAGAGAGGAAGAUUUCUGAAGCCUUAUAAGAAGAACCAAUGUCAGCAUUAAAAGACAAUGAAGAAACUAGAAGAAAAAUUGAUCCCCAAGUUAUCAUUCCAUUUUUUUUUCCUUUAACUUUUUUUUUUUUUCAGAGAAGUAAUGCUGUUGACUUUCUGAACAAAGCCCAAUCGGCAUGGAAGCAGCAGCCGCAGCAGGGUGGAACUCUCAUCUGGGAAUGGAAGGAGAAAUGUUCGAUCAGUGGGAGGUGAUGGAGCAGCAAUUCACAGCGCAGCAAAUUGCAGAGCUGCAGCAAUCUCUAGCUCUCUCCUCGGAGCAACAACCACCGGCGGGGGCAGCAACAGCGGCGGCGGCUCCCCUAAAGCCAAGGAAGUCUCUGAAGACCAGAAAUGCCUCCUCCCCGAGCUUCCUCUCCUUCGGCAGACCAGACGACCUGAUGAGCAUCGACGAGAGCUUCUAUGGCGGCCUUGCUCCCUCGGUGAGUCCGAAGAAAGAGAUGGACUUGGAGGCCAUGUUCGGGCAGCAGGCGUCGAAGUGCGGAGCGAGCAUGGCGGCGAAGAAGCCAAGCCACAGCAACAAGGAGCACAUCAUCGCCGAGAGGAAGCGGAGGGAGAAGCUCAACCAGAGAUUCAUCGCCCUGUCCGCCAUUGUUCCUGGCCUCAAGAAGAUGGACAAGACCUCCGUUCUCAGCGACGCCAUCAAGUACCUGAAGCAGCUCCAGGAGAAGGUGAAGUCCCUGGAGGAGCAAGCCGCGAGGAAGACCGUAGAGUCGGCGUUGGUCCGGGUCAAGAAGUCCCACCUGUGCGGCGACGACGACGACAGCCACUCCUCCUGCUCCUGCGACGACUACGACUCCGAUUCCGACUCCGACGGCCGGCCCGCCGGCGCCGAGUCCGCGCUGCCGGAGAUCGAGGCCAAGAUCUCCGACAGCACCAUCCUCGUCAAGAUCCACUGCGAGAAGCACAAGGGCGUGCUGGUGAAGGCGCUCUCGGAGAUCGAGAACAUCCACCUCUCCGUCAUCAACACCAGCGUCAUGCUCUUCACCACUUCUUCGCUCGACAUAACCGUCAUGGCUCAGGUUCGAUGCACCAAGCCUUUCAACUCUCUCUCUCCCUCUCCCUUGCCUCCUCUAACUCGGUGCUCGCUCCGGCGAUCUCUGAGCAGAUCGAGGAGGAGUUCGACAUGACCGCGAAGGAGGUUGUCAAGAAACUGAGCUCAGCUUUCAGACAGCCGCACUAAAGAAUUCAGCUCUCGUUGCAGAAAAUGGAAAAAAGGGCAGAAUUAGUGCUCACCCAAGUUUUCAUGCCAUGGUUUAGCAGUAACUCAAUCAUUGUGCUCACGGCUUUGGUUCAGCUUGAAGAGGCAACCGAAUGCCGAACAAAUACUAAAGAUGGAGUGUAAUUAUCUAGAACCUUUGUAGUCACCUCUUUUCGCUUUGCUUAACUCGAGUAAUCUUCGACAAAGCUCAGUAAAAAUGUUGGCAACUUUAUCAUUGAGUCUUCACAUGUACUAGCUGCACAUUCUUAUUUUCGAUAUGCUCUCAAAUUGAAUGAAAGCGCACAACAAUAUGCUUGCUCCUGUGAUCAUUAAACUAGUUCUUUCCCAAAUCAAUCAUUAAUUUGCUAUGCAAAUUCUUAUAGCUACAACUUCGAGCAGUGUGGUUUAUUGCUUCUUAACCAUAUCGUAUGGUUAAGAUAAGUAGAUGUUAUAGUAAACUCGCUCCCCAAGUUGGUAGGGCAGUAAUGAGUUGCUUUUUUGACCUCCAUGAACAAAUUGGUUGCCAAACCAACACCAUAAACUGUUUGAUCUUCUACAAGGUAAGUUCCUCAGACACCUGACCAAGCUUUUAUAAAGUGUAGAAUCUAUCACCUUGUCUUAAACUUGAAUAGUUUUCCUCCAUAAUCCAUUAGUUUAGCUUAUACUUCUCCAUCUUGAACUUCUUGAGAAAAUCAUUUACAAAGUUAUGCCUUCUUCAAGUUGCUUGACUUCUUAACCAAGAACGUUGAAUAAAACCUUCAUAUUUGUCAUAUCCAAACUCCUUUUCCAUGCCUUACUUGAAUAAGAUCAUUCAACUUCUUCUCUCCUUUGGCUACAUAAGUUAUUAUUCUGUUCAAAAUUUGCUUUCAGACUAACACAAACUGCUUCCUUAGCGAAUGCAACAAUUCCAUAGUUGUCUUUUAUCUUGAAGAAGAAACUUAUUUUGCAAUAGGAUUACACAAAAACUUUUAGGCACAAAUCAUUUGAACAGGAACAGGCAUUGUAAUCUUAUGUUAUGGCAAUCCAUCUCUUGAAAGCCAAAGCUGCUUCCCUUCUUUUCAGCUGAGCUUCUGUCUGCACCUUUGGGGCCUUUCCCUUAUACAAAAUCUUAUGAUACUUCAACCAAAGAGACCUAUACUUGUACUUGUCUAUGAACAUCUGAUCGAGCUCCAUCAUCUCGAUGACUUCCAU